rnacentral:rRNA from 1 species
AUUCCAGCUUCAGUAGCGUAUAUUAAAGUUGUUGCAGUUAAAAAGCUCGUAGUCGCAUUUCUGGCGAGAGGAUCCGGUCCGACCUUUUGGUGGGUUCUUGGGUCUCUUUCGCCAUCCUUGAGUGGUCCGUUCUGGCAUUAGGUUGUCGGAGCGUCAGCCGCUCAUCGUUUACUGUGAGAAAAUUAGAGUGUUCAAAGCAGGCUUAUGCCGUUGAAUAUAUUAGCAUGGAAUAAUAAGAUAGGACCUCGGUACUAUUUUGUUGGUUUGCGCACCAAGGUAAUGAUGAACAGGGACAGUUGGGGGUAUUUGUAUUUCGUUGUCAGAGGUGAAAUUCUUAGAUUUACGAAAGACAAACUACUGCGAAAGCAUUUACCAAGGAUGUUUUCAUUA